GGCUUCAGCUUUCCCACUGUGAAAGCGUAGCUGGUGGAAAAGUUCCCACAAUGCCACAGGGGAGGUGUGGCCCAAUAAAGCUUCAUAAGGGGGUGUGGGGUCACUGCUAUCAUGUGGAUAUGAUGCAGCUGGGAGUUAUGAUCUCACAGGGGCGGUGCCCUUGCCUCUGCUUGGUUGGCAUGCAGAACUUGGCUUAGUUACUGUACGGCUGGGUGAAGCAUAAUCUACCAUCUGGGACAUGUCAUAAAGCAAGUUCCCAACCUAAGAGCUGCCACAUAUUAAGUGCCCAGGAGCUGAUUGAUAAUAUCCUGGUUAUUCUCUGAAUAUCUAAGGCAUGGUAGACUCUGCUGCUGACUGCUUCUGGUUCCGGUCCACCUUAGUCUCACCCCUACCAGCACAUACAGGAGACCCAGGACUCUAGAGGACAAGCUCUACUUUGGAGUCAGCCUGCUGUGGAUCCUGUUCUGCUGUGUUCACCUGAUGGUAAUGGGUCAUCCUCUGGACACCAUCUGAACACUAAGAACAGCUACGCUGUCCUCUCCUAUGGGCUGUGGAGCAUUGGAAGUAGGGAGCCUAGAACUAAGCAGCCAUCAGAUAGGACCCUUGAGUUUCCAGCUCAGGCCCAGUCUUUUCCUACUGGGAUUGCAGCUAAGUAGGACACCUGUGUCCUGAAUAACAUAGCUUAGCUCCACCCCCUCUAUCUUCUUGUUUAUGCUCUGAAAGCCACCAACAAGACCCAAGGAAAGGUGCACUCCUGAGCCACUUUAGCGUUUUAAUAGGAUCCAGCUCUUCAGAGGGGGCCUAUGAAGGAUUGCCUUGAUACCCAGAAGGCAAGUGUUUCUUUCCCGGCUUUGGCUCAGUGUGCUUACUUUAGAGGAUCAGCUUCCAGGAGCACCCUGAGACAUCCUACCCCACAGCAGUAUUGUUCUGAAGGUCAUGUGGGGUGGAGCUGGGGCUCAGCUGAAGUUAACCAUCUUUGUUUUUUAGUUUUGGGAAAUAUAAGAGCUCCCUGUCUAUCUGCUGUCUUCAUGUGUGACAACAACUGCUCUGUCAUAGCCAUUUGUUAUUACCAACCACACCUGACUGGCAGAACCUUUGUCCAGCUGGGGAGGGGUGAUUUAGAAAGCCAAGCAGCUUUUCCCAGGUCCUGACCCACCCAGCUGAGGGAUGAGGAAGAGUGUCUCUGCUCACAAGCCAGUGGUGGCAUCUGUCAAUUAUGUCACGCAACAAAGAAACCUUAAAAGCAAUGUCCCUAUUGGCCUCUGGAAGAUGGGGAAAGAGGUACCUGAGAAUGUUGGGUAUCUGCUAUCCCGAGUGAGGGAGGCAGGUUUCACAAUAUGAUCAGCUGCUCUCUGCUGUGGAAGUGGUGAGCCCAGAAUUGUCCUCCACAUUUUCUGCCUGUAUGACUCCCCCUUUUUCUGUCCCCAGGAAGCCCUGUUAGUUUCCUAUGAAUGGAGAGGUAUAGAACAGCAAAGGCAAUGGGGAGUGAGGGCUCGUCAGACCGCUGGUCUCCCACCCUGCUCCACCUGUGAAGACGGCAACUUUCCUCUCUCCUCAGCAAGCAGGAUGAUGGAGGGGGCUGAGCAGGUGAACUUGUGUGUGUGGUAACGUAUUGACUAGAUUUAUGUCAACUUGACACAAACCGUAGUCAUCUGAGAGAAGGGAACCCUAACUAAGAAAAUGCCUCUGUAAGACUUGGCUGUGGCCAGCCUGUUGACCAUUUUCUUAAUUACUGAUUGAUGGGAAGGACCCAGCUCAACAUGGGUGGGGCCAACCCUGGGAUGGAAGUCCUGGAUUCUACAAGAAAGCAGGCUGUGAAAGCUAUGAAGAGCAAACCAGUCAGCAGCACCCUCCAUGGCCUCUGCAUCAGCUCCUGCCUCCAGGUUCCUGCCCUGCUUGAGUUCCCCUCUCACUGCUUUUGAUGGAUUGUUACAUGGAGCUGUGAGUGAAGAACCCUUCUCUCCCCAAGUUCUUUUGGUCAUAGUGUUUCAUCAAAGCAAUGGUAGCCUCAACUUAAAACCGAUUAUAAUCCCAAGGCAGAGAGAGAAUCUAGGCAGGCUAGUGAUGCUCAGGCCAGAGGGUCUAGAGAGUCAGGUGGUUGGGGAGUCAGCUUCUGAGGUUGUGGGAAAGGGCCCUGUUGGCUUUGAGUCUCCUUUACUGUCCUGGAGGCAAGAUUGAGAAAUGUUCACAGUCAACAUCAUCACCAUCAUCAUGUUGUCCUCUCUGGUGCCUGUCUACCGUGAGUGCAGCCCUGCUCAGAUUGGACCACUUGGCAUUUAAGUGAAGGCUGGAAGCAUUGCUCCUUCUUCUUCAUUCUGGACAUAAACUUCUUAACGCUGAGGAAAAUUAUAUUGUCUAAAAUUCCAAAAUUUUUGUUUUUUAAUGUUUAAUCAGUUUUAAAACAGCCAUCAUUCAACUGUCUGCCAAGAACAAGUGUGAAGCCUGGCAGUAGAUGUGAAUAAGUGUGAAGCCUGGCAGCAGGUGUGAACAGGUGUAAAGCCUGGCAGCAGGUGUGAACAGGUGUGAAGCCUGGCAGCAGGUGUGAACAAGUGUAAAGCCUGGCAGCAGGUGUGAACAGGUGUGAAGCCUGGCAGCAGGUGUGAACAAGUGUGAACCUCAGCAGCAGGUGUGAAUAAAUGUAAAGCCUGGCAGCAGGUGUGAAGUCUGGCAGCAGGUGUGAGCAAGUGUGAACCUCAGCAGCAGGUGUGAACAAAUAUGAAGCCUGGCAGCAGGUGUGAACAGGCAUGAAGUCUGGCAGCAGGUGCGAACAAGUGUGAACCUUGGCUGUCUGCAUUUAUCUAUGUCCUGUAAGCCCGUAACAAUAAAGUUUAGCUUCUGGCUCAGCCCCGCCUGGCUGCUGGGCUGGAAGUCGCUGACAAUGAUGCCGAGCUGCUGAAUGUUCUCCAUGAACUUCUCCAGGUGUUCCUCCAGAUGGUCAAACUUCUCCACCAUCGCCGGCUCCGCCCGCCUCUUAGCCUCAGCUCCCAGAGACUCCGGGUCCACAGUGCUCGCCCGCUUCCGCUUCCAGCUUCCGGAAGCCCACAUCCGUUUCCUCGGGGGCGGGGCCUCCUCAGGAGCGGGGCCGGACGAGGCUGCUGUCUAGCUAUUCCAAUGGUGGAUGGCAGUGAACAGAAAGUCCAAGGUAUGUGUGGGGGACAAAGAGGAGGGCAGGAUCCCUUCAGUCUUAAGAAGACAUGACCCCCACCAUGGC